AGAAAACAGAGCACAAUCAUGUACAAUGAUUCAAACUUGGGAAAAUGUAUAUUAUACAUUGAGCACACUUCUUCUAAAAUCACAAAAUUAUGCUGCCAGUAAAAGAGUGGAACAUACAGACGAAGUCUAUCCAAAGAAAAAAAAAACCCUUUUGAUGAAUGAAUUUCCAUGCAAACCAUGCACUGAAAGACAUCAAGUCACAAGCAAAUUCAUGGCGUAGGAACGUAGACUCGUUUGCAAUGAGCAUUCCAAUUUCUAGUGAUCAUAUGAAUAACAGAGAGCCCAUAGAGGAGAAAAAGAAAGCAAUUAAAUUCAACAAGGUAUCAUCAACAUA
rnacentral:misc_RNA from 1 species